CUCUCACGUUCUCUCCCUCUCUCUAACCCUAAUCACGCCGCCACCAUCACCGUUCCUGUCAGUCACGUUCGCUGCCGUCCCUGCCCAGUAAUGCCAUCUCCGUCGCCGUCCACGGCCAACCAUUUGAGUAAUGUCUGCAAACUGAGUUAGUGGCUGAAUAAGGAUAUAAAUUCCGAAGAAUAAAUUACACCAGUGCCUCAAGAUGAGGCAUUCAUGAUCACUAACGUGAAGAAGAAGAAAAACACUGAUGAUCCAGACGAAUGGUGUGAGGAACGGGCUGAGCAGACCUAUAAUCAAUAUCAACAAUCAAAGGCGGAGUUUCUUCGUACUCAGCCACCCAACACGCAGCUUACACAAUACCAAGUCGUUCGAUAGAGUGAGUGUUAUGGCCAUGGAGAAAAAGAUUGCUGAGCUAUCUAGCCAGCUAGUGGUGUGGAAGAUGAUGGGACUCACGUGUCAAAUACACAGAGGCAUGUUUGAAUGUAAUGUUGUACUGUUUUUUUAAUUGUAUAAGUGUUUUGUGGAUGUUUGCGAUGGGUGAAUUAGUCUAAUGUUAUAGACUAACUUAGUGUAGACUAGUUUAGUGUUUUGUGGAUGUUUGCGAGGGUUGAAGUAGUUUAGUGUUGUGUGGAUGUUUGUGAAAGUUGAAGUAGUUUGAUGUCUCUUGUGAAUGUUUGAAUGACGUUUUGAUUCAACUUUGAAGAGUUUCAAAAUGAAUUUGAUGCAGUGCGGGUUGUAAUAUAUGUGUU